UACGUAGGGGGCAAGCGUUGUCCGGACUUACUGGGCGUAAAGCGCACGUAGGUGGUUUGUUAAGCCAGCUGUGAAAUCCCCGGGCUCAACCUGGGCACUGCAGUUGGAACUGGCAAGCUAGAGUAGGGUAGAGGGGUGUGGAAUUCCAGGUGUAGCGGUGAAAUGCGUAGAUAUCUGGAGGAACAUCAGUGGCGAAGGCGACACCCUGGACUCAUACUGACACUGAGGUGCGAAAGCGUGGGGAGCAAACAGG
rnacentral:rRNA from 1 species